CACGUAGGGGGGCAAGCGUUGUCCGGAAUUAUUGGGCGUAAAGAGCUCGUAGGCGGUGUGUCGCGUCGGCCGUGAAAACCUGCAGCUUAACUGUGGGCGUGCGGUCGAUACGGGCAUCACUGGAGUUCGGCAGGGGAGACUGGAAUUCCUGGUGUAGCGGUGAAAUGCGCAGAUAUCAGGAGGAACACCGGUGGCGAAGGCGGGGUCUCUGGGCCGAUACUGACGCUGAGGAGCGAAAGCGUGGGGAGCGAACAGG
rnacentral:rRNA from 1 species